AUUUGACGCGUCAGCCGCACCGCCAUGUUGAAGAGGGCUUUCAAGUUAAGCUAAUUCUAGACUUAACCUGAAUUUGUAGUGUUAGCUAAGAUUGUGUACAAAAAUGCUGUAACGCUGUGCAUCAUUUGCAUGGUCAUGGGGUAACCCGGAGCCUAUCCCAGGGGACUCGGGGCACAAGGCAGAGACACGCUGGACGGGGUGGCAACACAUCGCAGGCAUAACUGCGCACACACUCACACACCCAUUCACUCACUACAGAUUUGGAAAUUUGGAAAUGCCGAUCAGCCUACAGUGCAUGUCUUUGGACUGGGGGAGGAAACCAGAGUACCUGGAGGAAACCCCCAAAGCACAGGGAGAACAUGCAAACUCCGUGCACACAGGGCGGAGAUGGGUGUUGAACCUCCAACCCCGGAGGCAACAGUGCUAACCACUAAGCCACCGUGCUCCCCCUUGGGCAUUUAUUCCAAAAGGUACAAACAACUUAUGUGUUUUAUUUUAUAGGGAACUUCAUGCAGGAUGUGUUUCUGUUUCCGUUGAGAGGACAUCAGUUGAUUUUGAUAUGAUUUUGUCACAGUUUUUAAUAACUGGGUGUUCAGUGUUUACCAUGAGUUUAGUAACCUCAAUAAACCAUAUUUGGAACAUUA